AUCCUCUAUCUGUUCAGUACUGUAUCUUGCAAUAUCCAUCAUCACAUUAUCAAACAGGAAAAUUAUCCAUUCCCAUCUUGUUGGAAGAAGAACUGAGUGCAUGAUUUGGUUUUCCCAACUGACAAUGUUAGAGAUAGAGGCUGUAACAUAGAGGCUACUCCAUCAGCUAGAGUAUCCUGAGAUGAAGAUGACAUGGAAGAGAAUUCAUAGUAAAUCCAUGAUAACAUGCUGAGCUUUCCGUGGGCUGUGACCAGAUUCUAUUUGAUCUCCACCUCAUUAUUCAAUGGCAGUGCACUCCAGGUUCAGCAGUCAGCAGUGAUGCGUUGAGCAGGGGUGAGUGGCUGGCCCAUUACCACUCAUAAGCCUUUUACCAAAGACAGCUCCCACUGAGCGAAGCGAACAAGACUCCAACUGGCUACAAAG
ensembl:lncRNA